CCGCCCCUCACGGCUUCUUCCUGGCUGCCAGCGACAGACCUGAGCCGGGCGUUUGGAGACUGCUGGGCAGCUCAGAUUCCAAAUGAAAAUGUUUGAGAGUCUUGACUCUUCAGCUACAAAGUCUGGCCGGGACCUCUGGGCUGAAAUCUGUUCUUGUCUGCCACGUCCUGCCCAAGAAGACGCUGCCAGCAACGCCUUCUCGGACUCCUUUCUGGAUUCAUGCCCUGCAGGUGAAGGCCAUACAGAGGCAGCGGACUCUGCUGUAAAGCCAUCUGUAAAGCCCUGGGCUCCUUUGCAUGAUUCAGAAGUGUAUUUAGCAUCUCUAGAGAAGAAACUAAGAAGAAUCAAAGGUUUAAAUGAGGAAGUAACUUCCAAGGACAUGCUUCGAACUCUGGCCCAAGCUAAGAAGGAAUGCUGGGAUCGAUUUCUCCAAGAGAAGUUAGCGUCCGAGUUUUUCGUGGAUGGCCUUGAUUCUGAUGAGAGCACCUUGGAACAUUUCAAACGGUGGCUUCAGCCAGAUAAAGUUGCCAUCAGCACAGAGGAGGUCCAGUUUCUCAUCCCUCCAGAGUUGCAGGCUGAGAAGCCAGAGGCCGGGGACAAGCCAGCGGCAGGAGAACAAUAAAUUACGCACACAUAAGCCAAGCAGCUGUCUGGGGCCCGGGGGAAACACUGCUCGAGAGCUCAACAGCCAAGUGAAAUCCGGGGAGAGAAAAUGCCCAGACUUCCAGUCCACAGAGCAGACAGCUGCUGGCCCCCGAGGACUUGCUUGGAGCUGGCUUGUGUGACUGUCCUCGAUGAAGUGACUGACCCAGUGUGUGCUGGAUCAGAAAGCUUGACUGAGCUCUCUUGCUGCAGGGAGAACUUCCUCAAAUCGGUGAAAUGUGUGAGUUGGGAGAGCCUUAUCACCCCACCUUCCUUCCUUCCGUCCAUCCUUACUGAAACAGAUCAAAAGGUAAAGCAAAGCUGUAACCGUACUCAACCUUGCAGCCAGCAAGGGAUAAUUACCAACCAGGGAUAAGGCAGUAAUGACCUGGUAUAGCCAGGGAAGGUUGUGUGGGAGCCAGGGAAGUAAGCUAAGUGACUGCCACUGUUUUUUCUGGCACAUGCACUCAUCACCCAGGCCUUGGCAAGGUCAGUGCUGGAAUGGCUCAGGCUUGCAUCCAGUACCUGCUCCAGAAAUAGGCUCCGGACACAUUCACACAGCAUAAACAAGUAUUCCGCCAAUGGUUGCCAAGGUGUGUCCCUUCUAGGCAGGCCUGCCUAACUGGGUGAUUGCUGGAAGAGAAAAGACGCCCUGAGCCACUUCUUAGA